rnacentral:rRNA from 1 species
UACGUAGGGUGCGAGCGUUGUCCGGAAUUAUUGGGCGUAAAGGGCUCGUAGGCGGUUUGUCGCGUCGGGAGUGAAAACUCAGGGCUUAACCCUGAGCCUGCUUCCGAUACGGGGCAGACUAGAGGUAUGCAGGGGAGAAUGGAAUUCCUGGUGUAGCGGUGAAAUGCGCAGAUAUCAGGAGGAACACCGAUGGCGAAGGCAGCCUCCUGGGCCAACACUGACGCUCAUGCACGAAAGCGUGGGGAGCAAACAGG